AUUCCAGCUCCAGUAGUGUAUAUCAAAGUUGUUGCGGUUAAAAAGCUCGUAGUUGGAUUUUUCGGGUUUUUCCGGGGCGGUACGUGGUCUUUGAACUGCGUGUGUUCCGGGUCCGGUGCUCGCUGUGCCCUCAAGGGUGUAGUGGGAUGUACUUUGAACAAAUUAGAGUGCUCAAGACAGGCAAUUUUAUUAUGUGCUGUGAAUAGAUUAGCAUGGAAUACGGGUAUAGACUCUCUUCUCGGGAUUGUUGUUUUGACGAGGAGGGGGAAUGAUGGAUAGGGAUAGGUGUGGGCAUUGAGAUUGUUUCGUCAGAGGUGAAAUUCUUAGAUCGGAGCAGGAUUAGCAGACGCGAAAGCAUUUGUCAAGGAUGUUUUCAUUA
rnacentral:rRNA from 1 species